rnacentral:rRNA from 1 species
GUCCACGCCGUAAACGAUGAUAACUAGCUGUCCGGGCACUUGGUGCCUGGGUGGCGCAGCUAACGCAUUAAGUUAUCCGCAUGGGGAGUACGGUAGCAAGAUUAAAACUCAAAGGAAUUGACGGGGGCCUGCACAAGCGGUGGAGCAUGUGGUUUAAUUCGAAGCAACGCGCAGAACCUUACCAGCGUUUGACAUCCCGCGCUAUCCAGAGAGAUUUGGAGUUCCCUUAGGGGACGCGGUGACAGGUGCUGCAUGGCUGUCGU